rnacentral:rRNA from 1 species
UGGAAGUAAAAAAGUCGUAACAAGGUUUCCGUAGGUGAACCUGCGGAAGGAUCAUUACAGUAUUCUUUUUGCCAGCGCUUAAUUGCGCGGCGAAAAAACCUUACACACAGUGUUUUUUGUUAUUACAAGAACUUUUGCUUUGGUCUGGACUAGAAAUAGUUUGGGCCAGAGGUUUACUGAACUAAACUUCAAUAUUUAUAUUGAAUUGUUAUUUAUUUAAUUGUCAAUUUGUUGAUUAAAUUCAAAAAAUCUUCAAAACUUUCAACAACGGAUCUCUUGGUUCUCGCAUCGAUGAAGAACGCAGCGAAAUGCGAUAAGUAAUAUGAAUUGCAGAUUUUCGUGAAUCAUCGAAUCUUUGAACGCACAUUGCGCCCUCUGGUAUUCCAGAGGGCAUGCCUGUUUGAGCGUCAUUUCUCUCUCAAACCUUCGGGUUUGGUAUUGAGUGAUACUCUUAGUCGAACUAGGCGUUUGCUUGAAAUGUAUUGGCAUGAGUGGUACUGGAUAGUGCUAUAUGACUUUCAAUGUAUUAGGUUUAUCCAACUCGUUGAAUAGUUUAAUGGUAUAUUUCUCGGUAUUCUAGGCUCGGCCUUACAAUAUAACAAACAAGUUUGACCUCAAAUCAGGUAGGAUUACCCGCUGAACUUAAGCAUAUCAAUAA